rnacentral:ncRNA from 1 species
GAUAGAGGUUGCGUGAUUCAUCAGUAACUUAUCGGAUGCAGCAGGUGCAGAAGAAGAUAAGCAAAAGGGGAGAACGCCGAAAGAGGAUCAUUCCUGUGAGGAUUCUCUUGGGUAUACAUUUAAGAGAUGUAUGACUGUCAUCUUCAUAGCAAGAUGGUGCGCUAUCGUA